rnacentral:lncRNA from 1 species
CCCACACACACACCCACACCCACUCUUCUUCCCCCAACCGUCUCGGAUCGGAGCAGAGCAGAGGCUCUCCCUUGGCCUUCCUCCCUCUCGGCAGCAGGCUCGACCUUUGCAUGGCAGCAGUGGCUACCUCCAAGGGGCGGGUGAUCGCUGGGAGCCUCGUCGCGCGCGUCCUUGCCGGCAAGGCCGCCAACGCCUCCCCGAGGUAUGCUCACACGCCUCCUGUGAGCUCAAAGAAAGAAUCAGAGUACUAGCAUACGUACUUACGUUGGAAGUAGAUCAGUACCACUACUGCUGCUAGUUCAACAGUGCCUCCGAGAUCUAGUUGCUCCGGAGAUUUGUAAAUGGUUCCUUUUGCUGCUCUCACCUCGGCUGCCGUGGGUACUGGUUCCCCCAUCGGUUCGCCAUCACAAUCAUCAUCUUGGUAUGGAAAUUGAUUAACCCGUGUUCUGUGAAGCGGCGCUGGGGAUAGGUACGUACCGUCGUGCUGCGCUAGAACUUGCAACACAGUUUCCCAACCCAACCCAAAGUUAGAAAGAUUGUGUCUCGAGUUCUCAGUCACGUCCUCCCCGCCUUGGAAACGCUCACAAAACUUCUUUGUAAAGCAGGGCGCAAGUGCCUUUUUCUCUCUCUAAAAAAAGCUUCCGUUUCACAAACUUGUUUGGUCCCUGUAAUAAGAACAGCAAAAAUAUCUUUCAUCUCUCCUGCCCAUAUGCGUCGACGAUCCGUAGCAGCAGCACAUCAUAUGAGUAGGACGGAUGUCAAGAUAAAUCUGCAGAGCAGGAGAGAGCUCCACCACAGAAGAAGGCAGAGAAGGCCAGAUCCAUGGAGAUAUUUCUCUGCGCCUCCCAGUUGCGGCCGGCUCGUCGGAGAUGGCCAAGACAUCACCCGAGCCCCGGCGGCGAAGGGAUAGUGCAAGGAUAUUAUUCACGGCCCGGACGGGUCGGUCGCUCGUUUCUGUUUCUUUCUGGGAGAUUUUAUUGACGGCAGCGAAUGGGUGGACGGGUAGGUGCGGGGUGGUUGUCCGUCCGUCCGUCCGCCAUCUGCCGGCCUGAGCGCUCCCUUGGUUUUCACUCCAAGGAUGGGGCUGGUGCGAGGCGAGAGGUUGGUGGUGGCGCCCACGGUCGGGGUUGCCGUGAGAUCAAGGCGCGGAUGAGACCCUCGGGCCCGCGGUCUGGCCCUGCACGAUCCCACUUCUUCUGGGCUCCGGAUCUGAACCGGCCGGCGGGCGACGUGUCGUCCAUCGGGUCCCGGGGCGGACGUACUGGGUGCACGUACACGCUAGGGUGAGUAGGAUGAUGGCGCCGGUCUUAUCCACAAGACCCACCCACCCACCCACCGUCGUGCUGCCCCACCUUCUCCCGCCGUCUCUUCUUUGCUCACUGACCUAAGGCAGCCAGUGGAGUCCGGCCACAGCGCAAACGGCGUGCUUCGUGCCACCAUCAGUCACCACGCAUGGCCGGGCUCGUUCUAUGGUGCGUACCGAACUGAAAGAAAAAUUGGUUUAUGGGCGCCCACACGGCACGGCACGGCACUCUUUGCGUGAACUCGCCGUCCCGGGCACCAACAACACACUUUGUGCUGCCCACGGGAGCAGAAAAAAAUAAUAAAAAGAUGGAAAAGUGUAGCUUAAUGGCAAGCAAACGGACAGCGCACCGGUCAAGAUCUUAUGUACUCCCUCCGCCCGGUAAUAAGUGUAUUUUUUUCUUUUCUGUCAAUCAAACUAGUUAAACUUUGAUUAACUUUAUUGAAAAAGUGCUAGCAUUUAUGACAUCAGAUUAGUAUCAAUAGAUUUGCCUUUACAUGAGGUUUCCAAAUAUAUCAUUUUCAUGCCAUAUAUGUUGCUACUAUUUACUAUAAAAUUGGUCAAAUUUUUUAAAAAUUGACUAAGUACUAAUCUAUAUGUAUGCUUAUUUGUGGACGGAGGGAGUACAUAGUUAUAAUAACUUCAUUUAGUCAAUAAAAUCUUGGUAACACCCACCCACAUAUAUAGGACUUUUAAUUAACGCUCACUCAUUGGGCUGCCCUAUUGCUAGUCAAUGCAAUGGCUUAUAUAUAAUCAACUGACGCCGUGAUGCGUACGUGCAUUGUUUCAUCAUCGUUCUUUUGCAUCAUGAACGGAGUAUUUUCCUUACCAUCAAGUCAACGUGGUACCGUUGUGUAUGUAGGAUCCAACGACCUCAUUAACGAGCGAUCCGGUUUUGGUGUUUGGGUUUUGCAGGAGGGCGGUGCACGCGUCGGCCUACGACAAGAACGUGGACGAGCAGGUGCGCCCGGCCUUCGUGCCGGACGAUGUGAUCGGCGGCGCCGGGAGCCCAGACAAGUACUGGGGCCCUCACCCGACCACCGGCGUCUUCGGCCCGGCCGCGGUCGACCCCAAGCUGUCCGCCAGCCUCGCGGCGCCGGCCAGCGCCGCGAAUGGUGGCGGCGCCUCCGUGCUGGACCAGAAGGUGUGGUUCCGCCCGCUCGAGGACGUCGAGAAGCCCCCCGUCGCCUGAUCGCCGCCGGCGACCACAGCCCAGCUCGACAUCU